rnacentral:rRNA from 1 species
UAGGGAAUCUUCGGCAAUGGACGGAAGUCUGACCGAGCAACGCCGCGUGAGUGAAGAAGGUUUUCGGAUCGUAAAGCUCUGUUGUAAGAGAAGAACGAGUGUGAGAGUGGAAAGUUCACACUGUGACGGUAUCUUACCAGAAAGGGACGGCUAACUACGUGCCAGCAGCCGCGGUAAUACGUAGGUCCCGAGCGUUGUCCGGAUUUAUUGGGCGUAAAGCGAGCGCAGGCGGUUAGAUAAGUCUGAAGUUAAAGGCUGUGGCUUAACCAUAGUACGCUUUGGAAACUGUUUAACUUGAGUGCAAGAGGGGAGAGUGGAAUUCCAUGUGUAGCGGUGAAAUGCGUAGAUAUAUGGAGGAACACCGGUGGCGAAAGCGGCUCUCUGGCUUGUAACUGACGCUGAGGCUCGAAAGCGUGGGGAGCAAACAGGAUUAGAUACCCUGGUAGUCCACGCCGUAAACGAUGAGUGCUAGGUGCUAGACCCUUUCCGGGGUUUAGUGCCGCAGCUAACGCAUUAAGCACUCCGCCUGGGGAGUACGACCGCAAGGUUG